rnacentral:rRNA from 1 species
GGGUACCGGGGCAGACUAGUGGUGCGGUAAGGGGGAAGAUUUGAAAUUCCUGGUGUAGCGGUUGGAAUGCGCAGAUAUCAGGAGGGAACACCGGAUGGCGAAGGGCAGAUCUCUGGGCCGUAACUGACGGUUGAGGGAGCGAAAGGGUGGGGAGCAAACAGGCUUAGAUACCCUGGGUAGUCCACCCCGUAAAACGUUGGGAACUAGUUGUGGGGUCCAUUCCACGGAUUCCGUGACGCAGCUAACGCAUUAAGUUCCCCGCCUGGGGAGUACGGCCGCAAGGCUAAAACUCAAAGGAAUUGACGGGGACCCGCACAAGCGGCGGAGCAUGCGGAUUAAUUCGAUGCAACGCGAAGAACCUUACCAAGGCUUGACAUAUACGAGAACGGGCCAGAAAUGGUCAACUCUUUGGACACUCGUAAACAGGUGGUGCAUGGUUGUCGUCAGCUCGUGUCGUGAGAUGUUGGGUUAAGUCCCGCAACGAGCGCAACCCUCGUUCUAUGUUGCCAGCACGUAAUGGUGGGAACUCAUGGGAUACUGCCGGGGUCAACUCGGAGGAAGGUGGGGAUGACGUCAAAUCAUCAUGCCCCUUAUGUCUUGGGCUUCACGCAUGCUACAAUGGCCGGUACAAAGGGCUGCAAUACCGUGAGGUGGAGCGAAUCCCAAAAAGCCGGUCCCAGUUCGGAUUGAGGUCUGCAACUCGACCUCAUGAAGUCGGAGUCGCUAGUAAUCGCAGAUCAGCAACGAUGCGGUGAAUACGUUCCCGGGUCUUGUACACACCGCCCGUCAAGUCAUGAAAGUCGGUAACACCGAAGCC